CAGGCUUAACACAUGCAAGUCGAGGGGCAGCACAGGUAGCAAUACCGGGUGGCGACCGGCGCACGGGUGAGUAACGCGUAUGCAACUUGCCUAUCAGAGGGGGAUAACCCGGCGAAAGUCGGACUAAUACCGCAUGAAGCAGGGAUCCCGCAUGGGAAUAUUUGCUAAAGAUUCAUCGCUGAUAGAUAGGCAUGCGUUCCAUUAGGCAGUUGGCGGGGUAACGGCCCACCAAACCGACGAUGGAUAGGGGUUCUGAGAGGAAGGUCCCCCACAUUGGUACUGAGACACGGACCAAACUCCUACGGGAGGCAGCAGUGAGGAAUAUUGGUCAAUGGGCGUAAGCCUGAACCAGCCAAGUCGCGUGAGGGAUGAAGGUUCUAUGGAUCGUAAACCUCUUUUAUAAGGGAAUAAAGUGCGGGACGUGUCCCGUUUUGUAUGUACCUUAUGAAUAAGGAUCGGCUAACUCCGUGCCAGCAGCCGCGGUAAUACGGAGGAUCCGAGCGUUAUCCGGAUUUAUUGGGUUUAAAGGGUGCGUAGGCGGCCUUUUAAGUCAGCGGUGAAAGUCUGUGGCUCAACCAUAGAAUUGCCGUUGAAACUGGGGGGCUUGAGUAUGUUUGAGGCAGGCGGAAUGCGUGGUGUAGCGGUGAAAUGCAUAGAUAUCACGCAGAACCCCGAUUGCGAAGGCAGCCUGCCAAGCCAUUACUGACGCUGAUGCACGAAAGCGUGGGGAUCAAACAGGAUUAGAUACCCUGGUAGUCCACGCAGUAAACGAUGAUCACUAGCUGUUUGCGAUACACUGUAAGCGGCACAGCGAAAGCGUUAAGUGAUCCACCUGGGGAGUACGCCGGCAACGGUGAAACUCAAAGGAAUUGACGGGGGCCCGCACAAGCGGAGGAACAUGUGGUUUAAUUCGAUGAUACGCGAGGAACCUUACCCGGGUUUGAACGCAUUCGGACCGAGGUGGAAACACCUUUUCUAGCAAUAGCCGUUUGCGAGGUGCUGCAUGGUUGUCGUCAGCUCGUGCCGUGAGGUGUCGGCUUAAGUGCCAUAACGAGCGCAACCCUUGCCACUAGUUACUAACAGGUAAAGCUGAGGACUCUGGUGGGACUGCCAGCGUAAGCUGCGAGGAAGGCGGGGAUGACGUCAAAUCAGCACGGCCCUUACAUCCGGGGCGACACACGUGUUACAAUGGCGUGGACAAAGGGAAGCCACCUGGCGACAGGGAGCGAAUCCCCAAACCACGUCUCAGUUCGGAUCGGAGUCUGCAACCCGACUCCGUGAAGCUGGAUUCGCUAGUAAUCGCGCAUCAGCCAUGGCGCGGUGAAUACGUUCCCGGGCCUUGUACACACCGCCCGUCAAGCCAUGGGAGCCGGGGGUACCUGAAGUCCGUAACCGCGAGGAUCGGCCUAGGGUAAAACUGGUGACUGGGGCUAAGUC
rnacentral:rRNA from 1 species